UUGGGAUUUGGUUUAGGAUUUGAUUUAGGAUUUGGUUGGGGUUUGGUUUAGAAUUUGUUUAGGAUUUGAUUUAGAGUUUAGGAUUUGGUUUAGGAUUUAGGAUUGGGUUUAAAAUUUGGUUGGAAUUUGAUUUAGGAUUUGGUUUAGGAUUAGGGUUUGAUUUAGGGUUUAAAGUUUGGUUAGGAUUUGAUUUAGGGUUAGGAUUUGGUUUAGGUUUAGAGUUUGAUUUAGGGUUAGGAUUUGGUUUAGGUUUAGAGUUUGAUUUAGGGUUUAAGGUUUGGUUAGGGUUUGAUUUAGGGUUUAGGAUUUGGUUGAGAUUUGGUUUAGGUUUAGGAUUUGAUUUAGGGUUUAAGGUUUGAUUAGGGUUUGGUUUAGGAUUUAGGAUUUGGUUGGAAUUUGGUUUAGGAUUCAAAAUAUGGUUAGGGUUUGGUUUAGAUUUAGGAUUUGAUUUAGGGUUUAGAGUUUGAUUAGGAUUUGAUUUAGGAUUAGGAUUUGGUUAGGGUUUGAUUUACGAUUUAGGAUUUGAUUUAGGAUUUAGUUAGGAUAUGGUUUAGGAUUUUUUUAGGAUUUGAUUUAGGAUUUAGGAUUUAGAAUUUGAUUUAGGGCUUAGGAUUUUAUUAGGAUUUUUUAGGAUUUAAGAUUUAGUUAAUUUUGGCCUAAAUUUUGAAUAAAUUCCAAUAGGAUUUUAACUAAGAUUAAAUUAAGAUUGAAUUGAGAUGUAUUUGAGAUAUAUUUGUGAUCAUUCUAAUAUUUCUUUAAGAUUUCUUAUUAUUUCUUUGGAAUUUCUUUGAGAUUUCUUUGAAUUUGAUUAAAGUUUGUUUAGCAUUGUUAGUAUUCUAUUAGAAUUAUGUUUUUUAUUAUUACAAUUCUCAUUCUACCUUCCAAAGUCAGGUGCUCGGAGCAUUCUCAAGCAAGACUUCACUUGUUAUGACAUAUUUGGUCAAUCCGACGUGAAACGCUUGAGGUGGAAGGAAUUUGG
rnacentral:lncRNA from 1 species